rnacentral:lncRNA from 1 species
GGGAAAGUAAAAACUGAGGGCAGUAAAUAUAUUAAUGCCCAAAAUUGCCCUCAAUUUCAACCAGGAUGUCAUGUAAAGUAAAAAUCAUUCAAAAAGAAAGAAUUAUCUUGAAUUACUGUGUGUUUCUAUAAAAUUAAAUUAUUCUUACUAGAAGAACUGACGAUGGCUUGUUCAUUUGCCCACAUCGCCCAUUCUAUCUGCCCCAUUUUCAUUCCAGAAGUCAUAUUGCCUACUUUGACUUCCUACUUUCUACUUUCAAUAUCC